rnacentral:misc_RNA from 1 species
UUUGGUUUGUUACGUGUGGUUGGCUGCGGCGUUUGCAACAACUUCCAUGCUUUCAGACCUCUUCAGUUGUGCGGCAAGGCUAGUAUCGCCUUGAGCAUAUUGCGGGUUUUCUGUGUUGGCUACCUAAUCAAUGGUAUCGGUUGGAUUGAUCAAAGUUUGAUUUCGUCUUCCGUCGCAUUCGCGGCGUGAGGUGAACCUCGAUGCGGUCUCUUUGAUCCACCUCGUUGAAGCAAAUGCUUUGACGUUGUGGCACAUUGAGCAUUGCUUGGUCUCUUGUAUACGGAACAUAUAGUGGGCAUGGAUCUAACGAUUCUCGUUUGCCCUCAUAUUAGCGUAACGCUUCUCUAACACGACUUGCGCCAUGUUUUAG